GACAAAAUACAGACAGGAGUAGCACCGGGAUUAGAGUUCACAGACCCAGGAGCACUGUGGAAACUCCUUCCCCGAGCGCCACUGCCGGCUUCAGGCCAUAUCACAGUACUUCAACACACGGAGAGGCGUCCCCCGGCUCGGCCCGGCUGGCCAACACUAAACACGAAACACCUGAGUUUCCCUCUGCCCUGCCCUUACCGAAACCUCACAGACAGACCAACUGCCCGCCCCGGCGAAACUCUUUCACCCACAGACUGGGAAAAAACCUGACUUUUGCAACUUCUGGGCCCAAGUCCCACUGUAUUCCCUUUCCCAGUCCCAGUGUAUUCCCUAUUUCUGGGAAAUAGCAGUUCGCAGCUGCUAACAAAAAGCUGCUCUUUUAUCUCACUUCCGUGUGUGGUUUUGAGGAGCUGGGCCUCUCAAGAUCAGUGCGGGAAUUCUCCAAAAUAUGCCGGCCGAAGAAGAAUUUCCUGCAGGAUGAAAUUUUCCAAUCUGGAGAGCCACAGGUCCCGCUUUUCCACCUUUCAGGCUGCCAAAACUGUUGCCUAGAAGACCUAGGGAGAAAAAAAAGACUUCAGGCCCAAUUAGGUGCCCAAAGAAAAGAACCAACAUUGUUUUCCCAUGGAGAGCAUUAGGCCAACAGGUGUACAUCCCAGGUCAGGACCAGCUUGCAGCAUCCCUACAGAGACAAUUAUGGGCAUUUGCUUGCAGACCAGUCACCGUCUGCUAUGAACACUGCAGCGGGAGGCCCCAUUUGGGAGCUAAGACCCAUCUUCUACCUGCUUAUUCCAGCCACACCAAUGCACACGAAAUAAACCAGCAUGACCACCAGCAUUGUGUCAGGCUGGAAAUCAUUAAAACAUUUGAAAGAGCACCUUCAUUUUAAUUCCAAGAUUUUUCAAGUGCUCCAAUCUUUGAACAAAAAUUAGCUUAUGCUAUCUCAUGUUUGUGUCAGACCAUAGGUGAUGAUGUGUUACCUAAAAAUGAAAUUUUUUUUUCCCAAUUUUGGUACCUGAUGCAGCAAGUAUAGUACUUUUCAUCUUUAGGACAGUGGACAGGUGGCAUAGGCAGCCAGAGCAUGACCCUUGAGGAGAAGAUCAAAUCUGACCAACUGGAGUGAGGACAACUCUGACUUCCUUUGCUGAAACUUUUGAUUUUUGGGAAGACAAAUGAACUGACUUUGUGACUGUAUGUUCUAUUCAAAAAGUACCUUCACCACUAAAACCUUAGUAUAUUUGCAAACUCUUAUUUUUCUUUCAAGCUAACCUCUCCUGCAUAAUAGACACCACAUGUCUCUGCCUAUCUGUAUUCUUGCCCUGACCUUGGCAUGCCAGCCGACUGUAGAUCCUCACUGAGUUCUGAAGCCAAACCAGUUCAGAACAGCAGAUAUAGGGAAAAUGGCAUGUUCACACACAGGCCUUAAGUGAUAAAAUGCUGAUGAUACCCAACACAGUAGCUGGAUACAGCCAAGCAUUUUUAACAGAUUUUUUUUCCCCUGCUCUCCUAUUUCUAGUUCUGCUGCAGACUUCCUGAGAUUAGAAGGAGAAAGAAGAGGCAGAAUUGCCAGCACUAUUCAAAAUGAGUGUGCACUAGGAAUUCAUAUAAAUGCAUUGCAAUGCCUUCUGUUUGAUCAUCUGGUAUUUUCCUAGUACCACCCAUUAUUUUCUUUGUUUCCUGAUUGCUCCUGUGGAAGCUGAUAUUUUCAAAGAAUCAUAUCUUAUGAGCUGGAAUCAUUUCCUAAAUGGCAAUAUAUAUCAAAGAUAUCACAGUGUAUAAAAUUAGAUUUCUUUUUACUAGCUGUAUCUGAUUUUUUAUUUAUCAACGUUAUAUUAUUUUUGCUAUUUUAUUGCCCAGUCAUUCAAUCUCAUGGUGUCCUUCUGCAACUCUUUGCAGCUUUUGUCUUUAGUCUCAAGCCUAAGUAGCUUAGUAUUGUCAGUGCAUCCCUGACUUCCCAAAUUCAUUUCCAGAACAUAUAUCAAUACACUGAGCAGCAGAGAACUAGUUUUUAAUAUAUUUAAUUUAUAAUAUUUUAAUUAGUCUUCCAUAAUUAUCCCUUCUUUCUCAUUCUCAUUUCUGUAUGGACACUUGGAAUGAGAUGUUGCUAAAAGCCCUUUGAAAAUUUAAACUUUAUUUGCCAGAUCAUCUUGACAUACAUGCUCAGAGAUUCUUCCAAAGACCUGUAAUUCAUGAUUUCAUGGCUGUGUAUCUAACACAUGUAUUCUUUCAUUAUGGUUUAUGUCAAUUGGCAAGGUACAACCAUCAAUUCUGUUGAAUCUCUACAGAAACCUCACACACAGGUGUAGUGGCUUUUUUAAUUUGAUUUUGUGUGUUUGUGUGUGUGUGUUAGAAUUUUUUUCUUUCUUCAAAUUUAACAACAUGGAAAGUUUGCUAAGCACUUCAACAGUAAACACAGAUAAAACCCUCAGUAUCUAUUCUGGUCUAUUCUUCCAGAAGGGUUCCUUCACACCUUGACCAUUUAGUCACCCUUUGACAACUAUCAGAGGCAGUACUGUACUGUACUGAGAGCUAGUAGCAGAAACAAAUUCAGCUUCAUCAAAUCACGGGGAUAUAGUAUUACUCCUGUUUAGUGCUUGGCCAUUCUAAUAUCUAGACUUCCUGUUACACAGUAAACAUUCUUCUGGAUUUGUCUGUUUUUAUUAAAAAGUGCUAAGAAAACAUUUUGAAAUUAAAAGUCUUACCAGUUUUCCACUGCAAGUCAACUUUUGCAAUCUACACAGUUUAAACAAGGAGCAGAGCAAGAGAUGACUCAGUCAUCAUCUGUAAAUGACUCUAUUACUGAUAAGAAAAAAAUAAAAUACCAUAUUAUGUCUUCAAGCUAGCUGAAAACAGAAAACAUGAUGUUGAAGACAAAUGAAUCCAGACUAAAUACAAAGCCUCUCCUUCAUAAUGAUGUUUAUUGACUACUAGGAUGGAUUAA